UUCCAUUCCAGUGAAAUAGUAGAAAGCACCAGCUGGAGACCAGCUGUGUCCUAUGGUCUUUGACUGUAAGUGAAAUCUUACUACAACCCAAUAAAGCAGAUGCAUCCUUUGAUGAACUUUGCAAAUCUUCAGAUCAGGUCUCUUAUAUUCUAUAUUAGCUAAAAAGUGAAAAAAAAUCAUUCUCUUUGGAGGCUCAUUAGUUUUUCUUUGAUGCCUGGCCAAGAAUUCAGUUCUCUGUCAAGAAAUGGAGGUAAUAUCUCAUUGGACUACUUUGGUUCUAAUGCCAUUCCUUCUUAGAUAACCAAGGGUACCAGUGAUGUUUUGGGGGGAAGUCAUUGAGAAGAUGUGACCACUGGUUGACCUUCACACUGGACCCAGGCAAUUGUGCAUGCUACAUGAAGUUAUAUGUAAGUGGGACCAAAAUGUAAAUGCAUUAUUAAAUGUGGGAACGUCAAGCUUCAAUUUACCAAGAAUUCAAAAGAACCAUCAUCAUCAUCAUCAUCAUCAUCAAUAAUAUUGAACUUUUUCAAUAAGAUGAUAAGGAAUUUUCUGAUUUCCUGCAUGGGGAAUGAAAAGCUGUAGCAUCAGGAACUCCUCAGCAUGCUUUGAGAGAAAAAAAUGGAAUUUUGGAAACAGUAAUGCAGGAAGCAUCGGAUAUAAUGGGAAAGUUUUUCUUUUGAGUAAUUGCCAACUCCGAGACUUAGGACACAAUGGACAUACUGAUAAGAUCAAAAGUAGAACCUAUAAGAGGAUCUAAAAAAACCUGGUAACUAGAAAUGGAUCUAUAUGUCUACAAAGAAAUGGGCUGAGACUCUUGAAACUUGUUUCCUAGGAAACUCAAUAGACUCAUCCUAAUAGCCUAACAUCAAGUCUGAAUUGGAUCAAAAAGAAUUGCCAAUAAAUUAACUGUAUGCUAGAACGAAACUCAACAUUCAUUAGAAAAAUUACAGAAUUGGGAGUCUCCCUAAUAUAUUAUCUACAAUAUCUAGAGUGUGGUUAAAAGUUACUAGAUAUGCAAACAAGUAAAAAUAUGUGGUGCAUAAUACAGACAUAAAAUGAUCAAUAACGUCUGAUCCACAGAUUACCCAGAUGUUGGAAUUAGCAAAUAAAGACUCUUAUAUGACAGUUUUAGGAAGUAGAGAAUCUACAGGUAAAGAUGGAUAUGAUAACUGAAGAUUUAGAGAAUUCAGAGGAGACAAGGAAAUUCUAAAAAGAAAAAAAAAACAGUGAUUAUAGAAAUAAAAGCACACAAUCUCUAAAAUUAAAAAUGCAUUGGAUGGUACUAACAACACAUGGCACAUUCCAGAAGAAAGGGUCAGUAAACAUGAGAUCAAAUAAAAUUUUUGCAAGCUGGAACUCAAGAAGAAGAUUUUAAUUUUAAAAGAGCUUCACAGACAUAUGUGGCAAUAUCAAGUAGUUUGCCAUUUGUAUAAUUGGAGAUCCAGAUGGAGAAAAGGAAUGUUAUGGGACGGAAAUGUUCGUGAAAUAAUAAUUGAAUUUUUUUUUCUAAAUUUAGAUGAAAACAUUAGGUCAACAACAAAGAAAAACAAUACAACCUAAGAAUAAUAAUUUCAAGUAAAUUACAUCAUAGUCAAACUGGUAAAACUCAAAGUUAAGGAAAAUAAUUACAAUUCAAAAGGCACAUUACAUAAAGAAAACUAAGAAUUAUAGCAGACAUCUCAUUGGAAGUAUAAACCAGAAGUCAAUGGAUCAUGAUACUCUCAAGGGAUAAAACAUUAAUCCAGAAUCCCAUAUUCAUUGAAAAUAUCUUCUAAAAAUAAAAGUGAAAUAAAGAAAAUUUUAUAUAAAACAAAGCUAAGAGAAUUGGUUACCAACAGAUUCACACCUCAAAACAUGAUAAAGGAAGGUUUUAAGUUGAAGGAAAAUCUUUAUGGAAAUUUGAAUGUACAUGAAUUAAUGAAGACCACCAGAACUGAUAAAUGUGGGGGUCACUUUAAGUUGUUUUUAAAAAAUUUUUCCUUAAUUAUUUAAAAUAAAAUUGACCAUUUGAAGAAAAUUAUAUUUUACUAAGGAAAGGUUAUAACAUGUAGAAAGAAAAACGUGAUAAAAUAUAAAUGACGAGAGGAGCUAAAUAAAAAUAUACUGUUGAACGGCUUUACAUUAAAUGUUAAAUGGUAUAUAAUUAAUUCAAGAUAGGGUGCAUAUUGCAAUUCCUAGAACAAAUAGUUAAAAAACAUGAAGUAAU